rnacentral:rRNA from 1 species
UGGGGAAUAUUGGACAAUGGGGGCAACCCCGAUCCAGCCAUGCCGCGUGAGUGAAGAAGGCCCUCGGGUUGUAAAGCUCUUUUGUCCGGAAAGAAAAGCUUCGGGUUAAUACCCCGGGGUUCUGACGGUACCGGAAGAAUAAGCACCGGCUAACUUCGUGCCAGCAGCCGCGGUAAUACGAAGGGUGCAAGCGUUACUCGGAAUUACUGGGCGUAAAGCGUGCGUAGGUGGUUGUUUAAGUCUGAUGUGAAAGCCCUGGGCUCAACCUGGGAAUGGCAUUGGAAACUGGGCAGCUAGAGUGCGGUAGAGGGUAGUGGAAUUCCCGGUGUAGCAGUGAAAUGCGUAGAGAUCGGGAGGAACAUCUGUGGCGAAGGCGACUGCCUGGACCAGCACUGACACUGAGGCACGAAAGCGUGGGGAGCAAACA